GGGAAACGAUGUGGGAAGGCACAGACAGCCAGGAUGUUGGCUUAGAAGCAGCCAUCAUUUAAAGAAAGCGUAAUAGCUCACUGGUCGAGUCGGCCUGCGCGGAAGAUGUAACGGGGCUAAACCAUGCACCGAAGCUGCGGCAGCGACGUUUAUGCGUUGUUGGGUAGGGGAGCGUUCUGUAAGCCUGCGAAGGUGGCCUGUGAGGGUUGCUGGAGGUAUCAGAAGUG
rnacentral:rRNA from 4 species